GUCUACAGCCAUACUACCUCGAACAAGUCUGAUCCUGUCUGAUCUCGGAAGCUAAGCAGGGUUGGGCCCGGUUAGUACUUGGAUGGGAGACCGCCUAGGAAGACGGGGUGCUGUAGGCA
rnacentral:rRNA from 1 species